rnacentral:rRNA from 1 species
CCCCAGCGCCACAAGUGGUUAUCACGAUUAUUGGGCCUAAAGCGUUCGUAGCCGGUUUGGUAAAUCUCUUGUGAAAUUGUUCGGCUUAACCGGACAGCGUGCAGGAGACACUGCCAGACUCGAGACCGGGAGGCGUAAGAAGUAUUCCAUGGGGACUGGUAAAAUGGGAUAAUCCAUGGAAGACUACCGAUGGCGAAGGCAUCUUACGAGAACUGAUCUGACGGUGAGGAACGAAAGCCAGGGGAGCGAACCGG